rnacentral:rRNA from 1 species
GACAGAGGGGGCAAGCGUUGCUCGGAAUCACUGGGCGUAAAGAGUGUGUAGGCGGUGUUCCCAGUCUGUUGUGAAAUCUCCCGGCUUAACUGGGAGGGUGCAGCGGAAACUAGAAUGCUAGAGGGUGGGAGAGGUAAGCGGAAUUCCUGGUGUAGCGGUGAAAUGCGUAGAUAUCAGGAGGAACACCUGUGGUGUAGACAGCUUACUGGACCACUUCUGACGCUGAGACACGAAAGCGUGGGUAGCAAACAGG